CCCCGCGGGUCCUUAAAAAGUCUUGAAAUGUCUUAAAUACAAUUUUCGAUUUUUAAGGUCUGAAAAUGUCUUGAAUCCUGGAAUUUUCCAUAUGAAUGUCUUAAAUUUCAUGUCCGACUCGUCAUUUUUAUUUAUUUUUUCAACCGCAAUUUGACCAGCACAACAUUUGGGGGCAGCACUUCGUGGGUGCAACCUGCAUCAUACCAUAUGUCACAUACGAGUAAGUGAUUGAUGAACGCGUAGCGCUGAUGGUUCGCCACCACGGCAUUUUGCGAAAUCGCAAGCAUGGGCAAAGACGAUAAAGCUGUGGACAAGACCAUGAUUGUCAGGUCUCGCUAUCUUGGUUCUCAGUUUUUGAGCACCUCAAUGGCAGAAGACUUGCUGGAGCACUUUAAGGAGGGCACCAAGGAACUUAAUUUAAGGAACAUGCUUUCUGUGUCAAUGGAUGGACCCACAGUAAAUUGGAAAGUCAUGGAUCUCCUACAACUGGAACAUGCAAUAAAUUUCUGAUCCUGAUCUUU